rnacentral:rRNA from 1 species
CACGCCGUAAACGAUGGAUGCUGAACAUUGGCAGUAUCGACCCUGCCAGUGUGGCUGUAAUCAAGCUAACGCCUUAAGCAUCCCGCCUGGGGAGUACGGCCGCAAGGCUAAAACUCAAAG